rnacentral:rRNA from 1 species
GACGAACGCUGGCGGCGUGCCUAAUACAUGCAAGUCGAGCGGACAGAAGGGAGCUUGCUCCCGGAAGUCAGCGGCGGACGGGUGAGUAACACGUGGGCAACCUGCCUGUAAGACUGGGAUAACUUCGGGAAACCGGAGCUAAUACCGGAUAGGUUCUUCCUCCGCAUGGGGGAAGAUGGAAAGACGGUUUCGGCUGUCACUUACAGAUGGGCCCGCGGCGCAUUAGCUAGUUGGUGGGGUAAUGGCCCACCAAGGCGACGAUGCGUAGCCGACCUGAGAGGGUGACCGGCCACGCUGGGACUGAGACACGGCCCAGACUCCUACGGGAGGCAGCAGUAGGGAAUCUUCCGCAAUGGACGAAAGUCUGACGGAGCAACGCCGCGUGAGCGAAGAAGGCCUUCGGGUCGUAAAGCUCUGUUGUUAGGGAAGAACAAGUGCCAGAGUAACUGCUGGCACCUUGACGGUACCUGACCAGAAAGCCACGGCUAACUACGUGCCAGCCGCCGCGGUAA